UCUAAUAUGGCAGAUUAAUG
rnacentral:tRNA from 1 species